UUAAAGCUUAGAUCAGGAAUGUUUAAUUGUAAUUAUUUUUUCAUCUUUAAAAAGGGUAUUGGAAUCCCAGUCCUCAGUGGGAAGUUCCCAGUUAUCUUCCGCUAGCGAGGAUCCAUUGGGAAAUCCAGACAUGCAUUGGAAGGAUGCUAAUGUAGAGGACACAGGGGCACCGGAUCCAAGAACUGUAGCUUUUCACCCGGAACGACAACCUGGCAUUCAGAUGGGACAACUCUUGAGAUAUGGGGCCAGAUUGUUCAGAGAACCAGUAGAUUUUUUGAAGCUGUUUUUGACGGAAGCUUUGGUUUUUUCCAUCUGUGUUGCCACCAACCAUUAUGCUGAAAUGGCUGUAUCUAGAGGGGAAAUAUUGUCGUAUGAUUCCCAAGGAAGUUGACAGCCUCUCACUGAAGAGGAACUGUGCAGUUGACGGAUACUGUUCUAGAAGGUACAGGGCUUGUAUGGAGAAUGUGAGUGAGGAGAAUGUAAAACUGGUCGCAACAUCUGAUGGGAGUUUGUAUUUCCCGCCCGAUUUCUUCACAAGGGCAUGUGAGUAAGUGAUGCAUUCCUAUAAUUCAACAUUUAACUUCGUUUUAAAGAGAAAAAAAUAUGAGUUGCAACACAAUUAUUCUUUAUCUACACCAAAGGUAAGUGUUGGAUUUGUUAUAUCCGGUUUAUAGUGCAUGGAUAAAAUGAACAAAUUGUUAUCAAACUAUCAUUAGGUUUUGUUAAUUUCACUUCCAUAUGAAUUUUCAUUUUGAUGGAUAAUCACAUAUACAUCUUAUUGCGUAUCAGAUAUUUCGCCACACUCAGUGAUUGUUAUGAAAAAAUGAAAUCGACAUCAUGCGGGCCACGUUUUUCGAGGAAAGCAGUGAAGGGAUCGAAGAUCAUGUCCAUCAAAUUGUGUCGAAACGCAGACGGUAAAACAAUUAUGAUACGAAAUUGAUUACUGUUCGUUAUUUCUACCUUUUAUCCCAGGCUUAAACUGUCUUCAAUUCAUUACAAUGUUUUUGACAAUUAAACACAAAUAAAAAUAUUACGUCAGAAAUAGAAGGCAAAUGAUACAAUGUUUAACAUUUUUGUUAUACUGAAACAACGGCGGGAAAAGGUGAGAAGUAUUAUUGAGAACUCUUGUUUUUUCACAGAAGCUAGCUGUACAUCCUAGUGAAAUCGUUACUCUUGUCAAUGCUUUAUUUCAGCCAUGAACACUCUUAUUCACUGCUUCAAUGAUAAAGAUUUCUAUGAGGAAUGCAUGCGCCCUGUUGAAGACGAGGAAGGUGGGAAUCGUUGCAAAUAAGUAGUCGACUGUGAAAUUAAUUCUGUACACAACUUUAUGAUAAACAAGCUGACGUCCGCUUUACUGUUGUGAACUUUAUGACAAAGGAGAUGACAUCAUCUGUUCUAUUGUGAGCUUUAUGACAGAGGAUAUUACUUCAGCUUUGUCAUUGUCAACAUGCUAUGUAUGUCUAGCAGUAUUCCAUUGUCAUCUACAUGCCAUUCAGACGAUUCGACGUUCAAGAGCAUGAUCUGCAUAUAAUCAAUAUUGUAACAUGGAGACAGGAUAUCGAGAAAUAGCAUUGUUACAGGAGUUUCAAUAACGCCGUUUGAAGUUAACAUUUUAUUUUCAAAUUAUAUGACCGUCAUAAUCUAAUUUGCAAAUACAAUCUAUAACUCAGUCGAAAGCUGUUUGGUGUGUUUCAUACCAAUUGUUAGACCGUUCUUUACAUACUGGUUUUAACUGCA